rnacentral:rRNA from 1 species
UACGUAGGUCGCAAGCGUUGUCCGGAUUUACUGGGCGUAAAGAGCGCGCAGGCGGCUGGUCAAGUCCGAUGUGAAAUCUCCCGGCUCAACUGGGAAACUGCAUCGGAAACUGAUCGGCUUGAAGAUGGGAGAGGGUAGUGGAAUUUACGGUGUAGCGGUGAAAUGCGUAGAUAUCGUAAGGAAGACCAGUGGCGAAGGCGGGUCUCUGGACAGUUCCUGACGCUGAGGCACGAAGGGUCAGGGGAGCAAACGGG